GCCAGUGUGGUGGAGUGGUUCAAGCACUAAAUUGGGACUCUGAAGACCAGGGUUCAAAUCCUGGCUCAGACA